rnacentral:tRNA from 1 species
GCCGGUGUGGUGGAAUUGGCAGACACAAGGGACUUAAAAUCCCUCGAUCAGUGAUGGUCAUGUGGGUUCGAGUCCCACCACCGGUACCA